rnacentral:snoRNA from 22 species
UUCAAAUGAUGAUACAAAAUAUCAGUUCUGCUUCUGAACCACGGAAGGAAGACAACCUAUUUACCAAAGCUCAAUUAGUUUCUGACAA